UACGUAGGGUGCGAGCGUUGUCCGGAAUUAUUGGGCGUAAAGAGCUCGUAGGCGGUUUGUCGCGUCGUUCGUGAAAACUCCACGCUUAACGUGGAGCGUGCGGGCGAUACGGGCAGACUUGAGUUCGGUAGGGGAGACUGGAAUUCCUGGUGUAGCGGUGAAAUGCGCAGAUAUCAGGAGGGAACACCCGGUGGGCGAAAGGCGGGUCUCUGGGCC
rnacentral:rRNA from 1 species